rnacentral:rRNA from 1 species
AUUGAACGCUGGCGGAAUGCUUUACACAUGCAAGUCGAACGGCAGCACGGGGGCAACCCUGGUGGCGAGUGGCGAACGGGUGAGUAAUACAUCGGAACGUGCCCGGUCGUGGGGGAUAACGUAGCGAAAGUUACGCUAAUACCGCAUACGAUCUGAGGAUGAAAGCGGGGGACCUUCGGGCCUCGCGCGAUCGGAGCGGCCGAUGUCAGAUUAGGUAGUUGGUGGGGUAAAGGCCUACCAAGCCGACGAUCUGUAGCUGGUCUGAGAGGACGACCAGCCACACUGGGACUGAGACACGGCCCAGUCUCCUACGGGAGGCAGCAGUGGGGAAUUUUGGACAAUGGGCGCAAGCCUGAUCCAGCCAUUCCGCGUGCAGGACGAAGGCCUUCGGGUUGUAAACUGCUUUUGUAUGGAACGAAAAGGCUCUGGCUAAUACCUGGGGCUCAUGACGGUACCGUAAGAAUAAGCACCGGCUAACUACGUG